AUCUGCCACAUAGAUUUUGUUUCUAUAUUUUAGUUUAAAAAAUCCAUUAAAAACAGUUAGUAUCCAAAUAGUAUUACGUAAGAAAAAAAAAAAAAAAAUUCGCACCCAAAAAAAAAAGCAAAAAAAAAUACAUUCUAAAACUGCAAAAAUCCUUGAUCCCUAAAUUUGCUUAAACUACCCACCAACCACGUUCAAAAUGAAAUAUAUAUUUUUUUGGUUUAAUGUUAAAAUUUCAAAAUGAAAUAUGUGACGACUUUUUUUUUUUUUUUGGGAUUUUAAUGUGAAGAAUGUCACGAUUUCAAACCGUUUGAUCUAUUAUUUAACCCCCAAUCAACUCAACUUCUUAUUUAUUUUCUCUAUUUUCCAUCGUUUUAUUUUUUGAGAAUUUUCAUAUUCAUCCUUUUCGAUUUCUCAUCUCUAUUGCCAGUUUGUCUUCUUCUUUGUCGUUUCAUUUCCGUUUGUUGUAUUCACAUAAUUUAGCAAAGACUCUGAUCCAGGUUUAUGACUACUCUGUAUUCAAUUUCAUUUUAUAUUUAUCACAUAUUAAAUUUUCUCUGAUUUUACAUGAUUCAAGUUGAAGACCAUUGCACUACUGGAUUAUACUCCUACUUCCCAACUAAAUUCUUCAAAACAAAAUGGAAAAAUAAGAGCUCAAGCCCAAAGAUAAAAGUCCCUGCAUGCAACUUAGUUCGUGAAGGAAAAGUUCAAAGAUAUAGAGAUGUCAAAUACCAUUGCGGCAUUGGCCCAAUACCCAUCUAAAUCUAGAAAUACUCACAUGGCUGUUAUCUACUGAUGCAGGAUGCAUCAGGAGAACGUGAUAAUUUGUUCCACAUAAAGGAGAUACAAAAAUGAAAAGUCAUGAUAGUAGGUGAACUUGAUGAAGGAAACGAGUAAUUCUUCCAAUCUCAAUCUUUCGUAGAAGAUUUGAAUAACUGAAAGAUAUAUGUUUAUAAUGUGGUGACUACGGGCUACAGCAAUUACGACAAAGGAGAGACAAAUAAUUCAAAAACGUAUUUCAAACGUUCAUAACAAAGACGGCAUACUGAAAGAUGAUCUGACAACAACAAAAGAAUUUGAAGAAAUUGAUCCAUUUGUAUAUAUGGCUGCAUGUACGUAGUUACUUUGUGUAAAUAUUUUAUGUUUAAUUUUUUACAUCUUAA